AGAGUUUGAUCCUGGCUCAGAGCGAACGCUGGCGGCAGGCUUAACACAUGCAAGUCGAGCGCAUCCUUCGGGGUGAGUGGCAGACGGGUGAGUAACACGUGGGAACGUACCUUUUGGUUCGGAACAACUGAGGGAAACUUCAGCUAAUACCGGAUACGCCCUUAUGGGGAAAGAUUUACCGCCGAAAGAUCGGCCCGCGUCUGAUUAGCUAGUUGGUGAGGUAAUGGCUCACCAAGGCGACGAUCAGUAGCUGGUCUGAGAGGAUGAUCAGCCACACUGGGACUGAGACACGGCCCAGACUCCUACGGGAGGCAGCAGUGGGGAAUAUUGGACAAUGGGCGCAAGCCUGAUCCAGCCAUGCCGCGUGAGUGAUGAAGGCCUUAGGGUUGUAAAGCUCUUUUAUCCGGGACGAUAAUGACGGUACCGGAAGAAUAAGCCCCGGCUAACUUCGUGCCAGCAGCCGCGGUAAUA
rnacentral:rRNA from 1 species